GACAGAGGUGCCAAGCGUUAGGCGGAAUCACUGGGCUUAAAGCGUGUGUAGGCGGAUCGUUAAGUACCUUGUGAAAUCCCACGGCUCAACCGUGGAACUGCUGGGUAUACUGGCGAUCUUGAGCCACCUAGGGGCGAGCGAAACAAGCGGUGGAGCGGUGAAAUGCGUAGAUAUCGCUUGGAACGCCAAUGGUGAAAACAGGCUGCUGGGGUUGCGCCGACGCUGAGACACGAAAGCCAGGGGAGCAAACGGG
rnacentral:rRNA from 1 species